GGCGUCGGCAUCGCGCGAAUUGCGUCAGGGCCGG
rnacentral:SRP_RNA from 1 species